GACGAACGUGGCGGCGUGCUUAAACACAUGCAAGUCGAACGUGAUUUUGUGGAAAUUCUUUCGGGAAUGGAAAUAAAAUGAAAGUGGCGAACGGGGUGAGUAACACGUGAGCAACCUACCUUACACAGGGGGAAUAGCCGUUGGAAACGACGAUUAAUACCGCAUGAGACCACAGAAUCGCAUGAUAUAGGGGUCAAAGAUUUAUCGGUGUAAGAAGGGCUCGCGUCUGAUUAGCUAGUUGGAAGGGUAAAGGCCUACCAAGGCGACGAUCAGUAGCCGGUCUGAGAGGAUGAACGGCCACAUUGGAACUGAGACACGGUCCAAACUCCUACGGGAGGCAGCAGUGGGGAAUAUUGCACAAUGGGGGGAACCCUGAUGCAGCGACGCCGCGUGAGCGAAGAAGGUUUUCGAAUCGUAAAGCUCUGUCCUAUGAGAAGAUAAUGACGGUAUCAUAGGAGGAAGCCCCGGCUAAAUACGUGCCAGCAGCCGCGGUAAUACGUAUGGGGCGAGCGUUGUCCGGAAUUAUUGGGCGUAAAGGGUACGUAGGCGGCCUUUUAAGUCAGGUGUGAAAGCGUGAGGCUUAACCUCAUUAAGCACUUGAAACUGGAAGACUUGAGUGAAGGAGAGGAAAGUGGAAUUCCUAGUGUAGCGGUGAAAUGCGUAGAUAUUAGGAGGAAUACCGGUGGCGAAGGCGACUUUCUGGACUUUUACUGACGCUCAGGUACGAAAGCGUGGGGAGCAAACAGG
rnacentral:rRNA from 1 species